AUGGAAAAGCAUGAGAGUUUGGAGCGUGACUCAAAGACUCGAGAGUCCGAGCUUGCCUCGGCUCUCGAAAGUGCCAAAACUGCCAAGGCCGAUGCCCAUAAGUCCCUCCAGGAGAUUGAGUUGGUGAGGAAGAUAGCGUCGGGUAAGGCAUUUUUCAUGCAAAGCAAGCAUGUGAAUGUAAAUUACGUGUUACUUACCCGAAUUCGGAGCUCUCCAGGGGCGUUUGCAGAUCUGCCUCGCAGCGUGUCUGAUGCCGCCGCAUUCUACCGAGCCGAGGAGGGGAGCUCAAUGGAGAAGGUCUUCUGGUCUUAG
rnacentral:rRNA from 1 species